rnacentral:lncRNA from 1 species
AAAAAGCGGACAGCUCAUGUGUUGAAUCGACUGGCCGAUGUCUCAUGGCAAACGAAGAAGAAGAGGUAAGUACGUCUAACUGUCACUCACUUGAAGAAAUGCAAAAUGCUUAUAAUAAAUUAUAUAGUGAGUUUGUUAAUGCUUCCAAGACCAUUAAAGAUUUGCAGAAAACUCUUUCAUUGCAAGAAACAGAUUUUCAAAAACAACUCUCAUUGAAUGAAAAGGAUUUG